rnacentral:rRNA from 1 species
UACGGAGGGUGCAAACGUUGCUCGGAAUCAUUGGGCGUAAAGCGCACGUAGGCGGCCUGUUAAGUCGGAUGUGAAAGCCCCGGGCUCAACCCGGGAAGUGCAUUCGAAACUGGCGGGCUUGAAUAUGGAAGAGGGUCGCGGAAUUCCCGGUGUAGAGGUGAAAUUCGUAGAUAUCGGGAGGAACACCAGUGGCGAAGGCGGCGACCUGGGCCAAUAUUGACGCUGAGGCACGAAAGCGUGGGGAGCAAACAGGG